GAUGAACGCUGGCGGCGUGCCUAAUACAUGCAAGUCGAGUGAACGGACGAGAAGCUUGCUUCUCUGAUGUUAGCGGCGGACGGGUGAGUAACACGUGGAUAACCUACCUAUAAGACUGGGAUAACUUCGGGAAACCGGAGCUAAUACCGGAUAAUAUUUUGAACCGCAUGGUUCAAAAGUGAAAGACGGUCUUGCUGUCACUUAUAGAUGGAUCCGCGCUGCAUUAGCUAGUUGGUAAGGUAACGGCUUACCAAGGCAACGAUGCAUAGCCGACCUGAGAGGGUGAUCGGCCCCACUGGAACUGAGACCCGGUCCAAAAUCCUACGGGAGGCAGCAGUAGGGAAUCUUCCGCAAGGGGCGAAAGCCUGACGGAGCAACGCCGGGGGGGUGAUGAAGGUUUUGGGAUCGUAAAACUCUUUUAUUAGGGAAAAAAAUAUGUGUAAGUAACUGUGCACAUCUUGACGGUACCUAAUCAAAAAGCCCCGGCUAACUACGU
rnacentral:rRNA from 1 species